rnacentral:rRNA from 1 species
AACGAACGCUGGCGGCGUGCUUAACACAUGCAAGUCGAACGGCAAGUCCCUGCUUGUGUUGGGUGCCCGAGUGGCGAAGGGGUGCGUAACACUUGUGUAUCCUGCUCUUGACUUUUGUGUAACUUCAGGAAACUGGGGCUACUACCGGAUCGCAGCUCCUGCUGCCUUGUGAGUGUUGGAACUUUUCGGCGUUUGGGGAUGGACUCGCGGCUUAUCAGCUUGUUGGUGGGGUAGUGGCUUACCAAGGCUUUGACGGGUCGCCGGCCUGAGAGGGUGACCGGCCACAUGGGGACUGAGAUACGGCCCAGACUCCUACGGGAGGCAGCAGUGGGGAAUAUUGCACAAUGGGCGGAAGCCUGAUGCAGCAACGCCGCGUGCGGGAUGACGGCCUUCGGGUUGUAAACCGCUUUCGCCUGUGACGAAGCGUGAGUGACGGUAAUGGGUAAAGAAGCACCGGCUAACUACGUG